AGAAGUAGUCUGCUGAUGAGUGAUGAAGAAAAAGCAGUUGUAGCGGCUGAAAGGAAGGAAAAAGUUAUGGAAUCAGAAGAAAUCAGAAGAAGCAGUUAAGAGGGUAAAACAGGGUAGAAGAAAUUGGGAGAACUUAAUAUGCAGCAAAACUGAGCUUUCCUUCCGGAAUAGAAAUCGGUGGAUUUUGGGGAUUAGGUCUGUAAUGUAUUAGACCCGUAAUAGCAAUACACUGAACCAAACAAAGGAUUAAAGGGGGAUUAAGUGGGGCCCACUGAUUAGGGGUGUAAUGGCUAUACCAAUACACCCAACCAAACAUGCUCU
rnacentral:lncRNA from 1 species